GAUGAACGCUGGCGGCGUGCCUAAUACAUGCAAGUCGAGCGAACGGACGAGAAGCUUGCUUCUCUGAUGUUAGCGGCGGACGGGUGAGUAACACGUGGAUAACCUACCUAUAAGACUGGGAUAACUUCGGGAAACCGUAGCUAAUACCGGAUAAUAUUUUGAACCGCAUGGUUCAAAAGUGAAAGACGGUCUUACUGUCACUUAUAGCUGGAUCCGGGCUGCAUUAGCUAGUUGGUAAGGUAACGGCUUACCAAGGCAACGAUGCAUAGCCGACCUGAGAGGGUGAUCGGCCACACUGGAACUGAGACACGGUCCAGACUCCUACGGGAGGCAGCAGUAGGGAAUCGUCCGCAAUGGGCGAAAGCCUGACGGAGCAACGCCGCGUGAGUGAUGAAGGUCUUCGGAUCGUAAAACUCUGUUAUUAGGGAAGAACAUAUGUGUAAGUAACUGUGCACAUCUUGACGGUACCUAAUCAGAAAGCCACGGCUAACUACGUG
rnacentral:rRNA from 1 species